rnacentral:rRNA from 1 species
CUACAGGGGUUUCUAAUCCUGUUCGCUCCCCACGCUUUCGUCCCUCAGCGUCAGUUGUAUCUUAGUGACCUGCCUUCGCAAUUGGUGUUCUAAGUAAUAUCUAUGCAUUUCACCGCUACACUACUUAUUCCAGCCACUUCAAAUACACUCAAGACUAACAGUAUCAACGGCAGUUCUACAGUUAAGCUGCAGGAUUUCACCGCUGACUUAUCAGCCCACCUACGGACCCUUUAAACCCAAUAAAUCCGGAUAACGCUUGCACCCUCCGUAUUACCGCGGCUGCUGGCAC